rnacentral:rRNA from 1 species
AUUGAACGCUGGCGGCAGGCCUAACACAUACAAGUCGAGCGGAUGAAGGGAGCUUGCUCCUGGAUUCAGCGGCGGACGGGUGAGUAAUGCCUAGGAAUCUGCCUGGUAGUGGGGGAUAACGUCCGUAAACGGGCGCUAAUACCGCAUACGUCCUGAGGGAGAAAGUGGGGGAUCUUCGGACCUCACGCUAUCAGAUGAGCCUAGGUCGGAUUAGCUAGUUGGUGGGGUAAAGGCCUACCAAGGCGACGAUCCGUAACUGGUCUGAGAGGAUGAUCAGUCACACUGGAACUGAGACACGGUCCAGACUCCUACGGGAGGCAGCAGUGGGGAAUAUUGGACGAUGGGCGAAAGCCUGAUCCAGCCAUGCCGCGUGUAUGAAGAAGGUCUUCGGAUUGUAAAGCACUUUAAGUUGGGAGGAAGGGCAGUAAGUUAAUACCUUGCUGUUUUGACGUUACCAACAGAAUAAGCACCGGCUAACUUCGUG